UGGCACACCCUACAGGAUUCGAACCUGUAACUCAAUGAUUAGAAGUCAUUUGCUCUGUCCAGUUGAACUAAGGGUGC
rnacentral:tRNA from 1 species